rnacentral:rRNA from 1 species
GCAUAUCAAUAAGCGGAGGAAAAGAAACUAACAAGGAUUCCCCUAGUAACGGCGAGUGAAGAGGGAAGAGCCCAAGAUUGAAAGCUGGCGCCUUCGGCGUCCGCAUUGUAAUCUCAAGAAGUGUUUUCCGCUUCGGACCAUGCCUAAGUCCCUUGGAAAAGGGCAUCAUAGAGGGUGAUAAUCCCGUUCAUGGCAUGGAGCGCCCGAAGCUUUGUGAUACGCUUUCUAAGAGUCGAGUUGUUUGGGAAUGCAGCUCAAAAUGGGUGGUAAAUGCCAUCUAAGGCUAAAUAUUGGGGAGAGACCGAUAGCGAACAAGUACAGUGAUGGAAAGAUGAAAAGAACUUUGAAAAGAGAGUUAAACAGUACGUGAAAUUGCCAAAAGGGAAGGGUAGGAGGUCAGAGAUGCGUCUUGGGAUUCAGCCUUGCUUUUGCCUGGUGUUUUUCCCAAGUUGCAGGCCAACGUCGGUUUUGGGCACUGGAGAAGGGUAGGAGGAACGUGGCACCUCUCGGGGUGUGUUAUAGCCUCCUACUGGAUACAGCGACCGAGACCGAGGAACGCAGCGUACUCGUAAGAGCGGGCCUUUUGGCACCUUUACGCUUAGGGCGUUGGCAUAAUGGCCCUCUACCACCCGUCUUGAAACACGGACC